GCGCCCGUAGCUCAAUUGGAUAGAGCGUUGGAUUCCGGUUCCAAAGGUUGGGGGUUCGAUUCCCUCCGGGCGUA
rnacentral:tRNA from 1 species